UGGGGAAUCUUAGACAAUGGGGGAAACCCUGAUCUAGCCAUGCCGCGUGAGCGAUGAAGGCCUUAGGGUUGUAAAGCUCUUUCAGCUGGGAAGAUAAUGACGGUACCAGCAGAAGAAGCCCCGGCUAACUCCGUGCCAGCAGCCGCGGUAAUACGGAGGGGGCUAGCGUUGUUCGGAAUUACUGGGCGUAAAGCGCACGUAGGCGGAUUAGUCAGUCAGAGGUGAAAUCCCAGGGCUCAACCCUGGAACUGCCUUUGAUACUGCUAGUCUUGAGGUCGAGAGAGGUGAGUGGAAUUCCGAGUGUAGAGGUGAAAUUCGUAGAUAUUCGGAGGAACACCA
rnacentral:rRNA from 1 species